rnacentral:rRNA from 1 species
AUUGAACGCUGGCGGCAUGCCUUACACAUGCAAGUCGAACGGUAACAGGUCUUCGGAUGCUGACGAGUGGCGAACGGGUGAGUAAUGCAUCGGAACGUGCCCAGUAGUGGGGGAUAGCCCGGCGAAAGCCGGAUUAAUACCGCAUACGACCUGAGGGUGAAAGGGGGGGAUCGCAAGACCUCUCGCUAUUGGAGCGGCCGAUGUCAGAUUAGCUAGUUGGUGGGGUAAAGGCCUACCAAGGCAACGAUCUGUAGUCGGUCUGAGAGGACGACCAGCCACACUGGGACUGAGACACGGCCCAGACUCCUACGGGAGGCAGCAGUGGGGAAUUUUGGACAAUGGGCGCAAGCCUGAUCCAGCAAUGCCGCGUGCAGGAAGAAGGCCUUCGGGUUGUAAACUGCUUUUGUCAGGGAAGAAAUCUUCUGGGUUAAUACCUCGGGAGGAUGACGGUACCUGAAGAAUAAGCACCGGCUAACUACGUGCCAGCCGCCGCCGUAA